rnacentral:rRNA from 1 species
UACGUAGGGGGCUAGCGUUGUCCGGAAUCAUUGGGCGUAAAGCGCGUGUAGGCGGUCCGGUAAGUCCGCUGUGAAAGUCGAGGGCUCAACCCUCGAAUGCCGGUGGAUACUGUCGGGCUUGAGUUCGGGAGAGGUGAGUGGAACUGCGAGUGUAGAGGUGAAAUUCGUAGAUAUUCGCAAGAACACCAGUGGCGAAGGCGGCCCUCUGGACGGUGACUGACGCUGAGACGCGAAAGCGUGGGGAGCAAACAGG